rnacentral:rRNA from 1 species
UACGUAGGUGGCAAGUGUUGUCCGGAUUUACUGGGCGUAAAGAGCGCGCAGGCGGACGUUCAAGUCGCGUGUGAAAGCCCCCGGCUCAACUGGGGAGGGUCACGCGAUACUGAUCGACUCGAAGGCAGGAGAGGGUAGUGGAAUUCCCGGUGUAGUGGUGAAAUGCGUAGAUAUCGGGAGGAACACCAGUGGCGAAGGCGACUACCUGGCCUGUUUCUUGACGCUGAGGCGCGAAAGCUAGGGGAGCAAACGGG